rnacentral:rRNA from 1 species
AUUAAACGCUGGCGGCAUGCCUUACACAUGCAAGUCGAACGGCAGCAUGGGUGCUUGCACCUGAUGGCGAGUGGCGGACGGGUGAGUAAUACAUCGGAACGUGCCCUGAAGUGGGGGAUAACGCAGCGAAAGCUACGCUAAUACCGCAUAUUCUGUGAGCAGGAAAGCAGGGGAUCGCAAGACCUUGCGCUUUGGGAGCGGCCGAUGUCGGAUUAGCUAGUUGGUGGGGUAAUGGCCUACCAAGGCGACGAUCCGUAGCGGGUCUGAGAGGAUGAUCCGCCACACUGGGACUGAGACACGGCCCAGACUCCUACGGGAGGCAGCAGUGGGGAAUUUUGGACAAUGGGCGAAAGCCUGAUCCAGCCAUGCCGCGUGAGUGAAGAAGGCCUCGGUUGUAAG